UCACUUAUCAGCCCCAAUCUAUAUUUCCCAUUUAAUAUCUGGAAUAAUUUGUGACAUUAAAAAUCAUUUUUAAAGGGGAUUAUUACCAUCGCGUGUACGGAUUUCCACAGAGAAAUGUAAAAAACGUGCUUGAAGUAGUUGCUGGGUUUUUUUUUUUUAUUAGAAAAUAUAUGGUUUCAUAUAUACGAUGUUCUCCUGCACAUGACUGCUUGCACAUCAGUUUAUUAACAAACAAAAGUAUCAUAUGUACAGGGGAAAAAAAGCAAUUUCUCCUGGGAUACAAAGGUGUUUUUUUUUUCUUUUUCAUAUGUGAACAUCCAGUUUGAGCUGUAAAUGAUAGCGCAGCAAAAUAAAUAAAUAUAGUUUAUUUUUU